CCUCCUCAAGAAUUGGCAAUUUACACUAUACUUAAAGCAGCUAUUGAAGAACUUAUUAAAGUGAAACUGAUUAUAAAUGCAGAAGAACAUGACAAAUUUGAUCGUCUACCUAAUAUUAAUGCUGAACAAAAAGAAGUACUCAAUACAACGCAAAAACUACAUCUAAUUUCCAAAGAAUGUGUUGGUUUGAGUGGGCGUGUUCUAAAAAAAAUUACUUUUAUAGCACAUUCCAUAUACAUACGUCAACCACAAUGUGAUGGUGUUCAUCAGUUUUUGGUGGCCUUACAUAAAGCGGUGAAGUAUCAAAAAACACAAGAUGCUGGCCUUACUAAAAUUAAAUAGUUUAAUAUGUUUUUAUAUUUAUUAUUGUAAAUUACAAAUAUGAUUUAAUAGUAAUUUGUAGUUAUAUCUCAAAUAGUUUUGUUUUAAUGAUAAUAAAAUAUAUAAAAUAUACAAUAUACAAUUUUACUUAUUAUUUUGACAAACCAGAUUAAACCAGAACUAAUUAUAAUGAAUAUUUGAGUCUUAUAAACAGAUUAUUUUAUACAUUGUUUAGAAUAGAUUUAUGAAUAUUAUGUUAUUUACUCUUUAUACAUGCAAUUUGAACCUUAAUUUACAUUAUUAUUAUUAUUAUUAUUAUUAUUUGCUUGGAAAUGUUGGUAUCUAGUAUAGUUAGGGGGGUGGGAAGACUAAUAAAACCUCGAAUAAAACAAAAUCAUUAAUUUAUUGUUGGAAACAUAAGUAUUGCUGUUUGUAUGUAUGGCACAGAAUUAUAUUAUGUUCUAAUUACUAAAAUUAUUUAUAUUAUUAUUAAAAAAUGCUAUUAUAAAGUAAAAAUAGUUGUAUAAAUUAAAACCAAAUUUGGUUUUUUAUGUUAAAUUGAUUUCAUUAAAGAAGUGUUGAUUUAACAAUAUUAUAUUUUAUGUUCAAAUAACAUUUAGUUAGUAACUAAUAAUUAUUGAAUAGUGAAUAUUUUGACUGUUUUGUAAUUAGUGUAGCAAAUUUAUUAAUUAAAUUAUAAUCUAUUUUAAUCAAAAUUCACUCAACUAAGAAUUAACUUUCUGUUCUAUUAAUAAAUUCAUGUACAUAAAUCAA